AUUGAACGCUGGCGGCAUGCCUUACACAUGCAAGUCGAACGGUAACAGGUUAAGCUGACGAGUGGCGAACGGGUGAGUAAUGUAUCGGAACGUGCCCAGUCGUGGGGGAUAACGUAGCGAAAGCUACGCUAAUACCGCAUACGAUCUACGGAUGAAAGCGGGGGAUCGCAAGACCUCGCGCGAUUGGAGCGGCCGAUAUCAGAUUAGGUUGUUGGUGAGGUAAAAGCUCACCAAGCCUGCGAUCUGUAGCUGGUCUGAGAGGACGACUAGCCACACUGGAGCGGAGCCACGGUCCAGACUCCUACGGGAGGCAGCAGUGGGGAAUUUUGGACAAUGGACGAAAGUCUGAUCCAGCAAUGCCGCGUGCAGGACGAAGGCCUUCGGGUUGUAAACUGCUUUUGUACGGAACGAAACGGUGAGCUCUAAUACAGUUUGCUAAUGACGGUACCGUAAGAAUAAGCACCGGCUAACUACGUGCCAGCCGCCGCAGUAA
rnacentral:rRNA from 1 species